GUUUAAUUUUUACUCCUGUGUAUUCUGCAAUUGCAAGAGAUUCCAUGAAGAGGUUGCUUAUUACCCUGCUGAGCAGUUUAGAGAGAGUUUGAUACAAUGAUUUUCAAGCAUGGAAGACUCUGGAGUGUCAUUUUCUUCAACGAUCCAAAUGGGUGUAGGAGAAUAUACCCUAAAUUUUCGUUACAGGGGCCAGGACCAGUUUAUUACUGUAUGGGUGCAAUCAAAACUGUGUGUAUUCUACACUCUCUAUGUAAUUUCUGAUGGACUGCUAAUAAUGGGUCAUUUGCAGUAGCUACCUAGGGC